rnacentral:misc_RNA from 1 species
AAAAGACCAAAAAGGCGUGAAAAUAUUUCAACCAGGUCCUCCUCUUGGUGGCUCUUCCUUGCUAGCUUCGCUAAUUAGCUUAUAAGCACACAAGGGUUAUAUUUUGGAUCUGAGACUCAGAGCAUUUCAUUUCACUACACAUGUCAUUGCUCCCUAUAGAAUGAACUCUUUUUAGAUUUCAUUGAUUCGAAUGAUCUCUUGCGCUUUCCUGCACCCAGACUCUGUUUAUUCAUUCAAUUUCACUGGAAUUCACUGCCUUCUCCUCAGAUCUGAUUGCUAUAAGGAAACAAACAAGAGAUGGAGAAAUCCUGUACUCUGCUCGUUCACUUUGACAAAGGAACACCAGCAAUCGCUAAUGAGAUUAAAGAAGCACUUGAAGGAAAUGAUGUACCAGCAAAGGUAGAUGCCAUGAAGAAGGCAAUCAGUCUUUUGCUGAAUGGUGAAACACUUCCCCAGCUCUUCAUUACAAUUGUUAGAUAUGUUUUGCCCUCUGAGGACCACACAAUCCAAAAACUGUUGCUUCUAUACUUGGAGAUUAUUGAAAAAACCGAUGCCAAGGGUCGGGUGUUGCCUGAAAUGAUUUUGAUAUGCCAAAACUUGAGGAACAACCUUCAGCACCCAAAUGAAUACAUUCGUGGGGUGACAUUGAGGUUUUUGUGUCGCUUGAAUGAAACAGAAAUAAUUGAGCCGUUGAUCCCUUCGGUUCUGCAAAAUCUGGAGCAUCGGCAUCCGUUUAUCAGGAGGAAUGCUAUAUUAGCUGUGAUGGCUAUAUAUAAGCUUCCCCAGGGUGAGCAACUUUUGGUUGAUGCUCCUGAAAUGAUUGAAAAGGUUCUUUCAACUGAGCAGGACCAAUCUGCUAAGAGGAAUGCAUUUCUUAUGCUUUUUACAUGUGCACAGGAUCGAGCCAUUAAUUAUCUUUUGACCCAUGUCGAUAGGGUUUCUGAAUGGGGUGAAUUACUUCAGAUGGUUGUCUUGGAGUUGAUUCGGAAGGUGUGCAGAACAAAUCGAGGAGAGAAGGGCAAGUACAUUAAGAUCAUUAUAUCUUUGUUAAAUGCCCCUUCCACUGCAGUUAUUUAUGAAUGUGCUGGGACACUUGUUUCACUCUCAUCUGCCCCUACUGCUAUUAGAAGUGCUGCUGGCACCUAUUGUCAGCUUCUUUUGUCUCAGAGUGAUAACAAUGUGAAGCUUAUUGUGCUUGAUCGGCUGAAUGAGCUCAAGACAUCUCAUAGAGAUAUCAUGGUUGAUCUAAUUAUGGAUGUGCUUAGGGCACUCUCCAGCCCAAAUCUUGACAUUCGGAGGAAGACGCUUGAUAUUGUCCUUGAGUUGAUCACACCACGGAACAUCAAUGAGGUUGUUCUUAUGUUGAAGAAGGAGGUUGUUAAGACUCAGAAUGGAGAGCUUGAGAAGAAUGGGGAGUACAGACAAAUGCUUAUUCAAGCUAUUCAUUCAUGUGCUAUUAAGUUCCCAGAAGUUGCAAGCACAGUGGUUCAUCUGUUGAUGGAUUUCCUUGGAGAUAGCAAUGUUGCUUCAGCUAUUGAUGUGGCUGUUUUUGUUCGUGAGAUAAUAGAAACCAAUCCUAAACUAAGGGUUUCCAUAAUAACUAGGCUGUUGGACACUUUCUACCAAAUCAGAGCGGCAAGGGUCUGCUCUUGUGCUCUUUGGAUUAUUGGAGAGUAUUGCCUGUCUCUUUCUGAAGUUGAGACUGGCAUUGCUACCAUCAAGCAGUGCCUCGGGGAGUUGCCUUUUUAUUCAGUUUCAGAAGAAGGUGAAGCACCUGAUACUUCAAAGAAGCCUCCACAGGCAAAUUCCAUUACUGUUUCUUCAAGGAGACCAGCUAUUCUUGCUGAUGGGACAUAUGCAACACAGAGUGCUGCCUCUGAAACCUCAUUUUCUCCUCCUACCAUUGUCCAGGGGACCCCAUCUUCAGGUAAUUUGAGGUCCCUUCUCCUCACUGGUGAUUUUUUCCUUGGAGCAGUUGUGGCAUGCACUCUGACAAAGCUCGUUUUGAGAUUGGAAGAGGUGCAGCCUUCUAGAGUUGAGGUGAACAAGGCAUCCACACAGGCGUUAUUGAUUAUGGUUUCAAUGCUACAAUUAGGACAAUCUUCAGUUUUGCCACACCCAAUUGAUAACGAUUCUUAUGAUAGGAUUCUACUCUGCAUAAGAUUGCUGUGCAAUACUGGUGAUGACAUCAGAAAGAUAUGGUUGCAGUCUUGCCGUCAGAGUUUUGUAAAAAUGCUUUCAGAGAAACAAUUGAGGGAAACUGAGGAAUUAAAAGCAAAAGCUCAGGUUUCUCAUGCACAACCAGAUGACCUGAUUGAUUUCUACCAUUUGAAGAGCAGGAAGGGUAUGAGUCAGCUGGAGUUAGAAGAUGAAGUUCAAGAUGAUUUGAAACGUGCAACUGGAGAGUUUAUCAAGGAUGGGGAUGACGCAAACAAGCUUAACCGCAUCCUUCAACUCACUGGAUUUAGUGACCCUGUCUAUGCUGAGGCAUAUGUAACGGUUCAUCACUAUGAUAUUGUACUUGAUGUUACAGUUAUCAACCGGACAAAGGAAACUCUUCAGAAUUUGUGCUUGGAGUUAGCAACUAUGGGUGAUCUUAAACUUGUUGAGCGUCCACAAAAUUAUACACUUGCUCCCGAAUCAAGCAAGCAAAUAAAGGCCAAUAUCAAGGUGUCCUCAACUGAAACCGGUGUAAUUUUUGGGAACAUUGUUUAUGAGACAUCAAAUGUGCUUGAGCGGACGGUUGUUGUCCUUAAUGACAUCCACAUCGAUAUUAUGGACUAUAUCUCUCCUGCAGUUUGUACAGAUGCUGCUUUUAGAACAAUGUGGGCAGAGUUUGAAUGGGAAAAUAAGGUUGCUGUUAAUACAAUUAUUCAAGAUGAGAAGGAAUUCCUGGACCAUAUUAUGAAGUCAACCAACAUGAAGUGUCUCACUGCACCGUCUGCACUAGAUGGUGAAUGCGGAUUUCUAGCCGCUAACUUGUAUGCGAAAAGUGUUUUUGGGGAGGAUGCUCUGGUAAAUGUAAGCAUUGAAAAACAGGCAGAUGGGAAGCUUAGUGGAUACAUCAGGAUAAGGAGCAAGACCCAGGGAAUUGCUCUGAGUCUGGGUGAUAAGAUCACUCUCAAGCAGAAGGGAGGCAGUUAAUGUCAGACAUCAUCAUUAUCAUUUCCAAUCACAAUGGUAUUAUUGAUUUCAGUUAUUGGCUUGCUUCCUGCAACAUCAGUCAUAUUUUAGCUUGGAAGCUUUGUAAGUUAAUAAUAAUGUUUUCCUGAAUCUUAUGAAUUAAUGCAGGUACUCAAGACUGGAUCCAAAAGAUUCUAUAUUUUUGUUCUCUUUGUACCUAGUGGAGUGGUAGUGCUAUGCUGGAAGUGGCAUUGUUGUAUUUUGGAGCCAUAUUUCCACAGUUAAAGGUGCUGAACGAUGUCUAAAUUGCGGCUUUUUCAGUUGUUGAACAGGAUUUCCCCUUCAUUCUAUUAUUUUUAUAGCAUUAAAUUUAAGCUUACUUUGUAGGUAUAUUACUGAAGAACAAACUAUGUAAUUUUUUUAGCAUCGACUCUUUUUGUGGGUGAUCCCUCUCCCUUGCUUGAUGUGCUUUGUUAGAUAAAAUUUAGGUCUUAUAAAAGGCUUUCAACAUAACUAGACCUCAAUUUAAUAGAUCUUUUAAGAUUGUUC